rnacentral:ncRNA from 1 species
AACUGUAGUAUUAAUAUCAUUUGUAGGUGCAGCUAACUCCCCAUGAGGUAAUUUUAUAAUUCCCCAAGGAAGAAGAGCACUUGACCAGUUAGAAACAAAGAUAAAUAGAAACAUAGUUCCAAUAAAGGGAACCCAGGGACCAUAUUCUUCCUCCCAAUCUGAGUUCUGGUCAAGUCCCGAAAAAAUUCAAGAAUAUAUUCUACAAAAUUUUGACCACCGGUAGGAAUGGUUUGUGGAUCUCGAACAACUAGGGUAGCUGAACCUAAUAAGACAAAAAUUACAACCCAAGAAGUUAUAAGUACAUGUGCAUGAGCUUGAAACCCCCCUAUUUUCCAAUAAAAAUGUUGACCCACCUCCACACCGGAUAUCUCGUAGAUAUGAUUCAGUGUACUAAUAGGAGAUCAUACGAUAUCCAUAUCCAUAUUACCUCCUUAUAAAGAUUAACUUAAAGAAGAAAAGAAAUGAUUUUUGUCGAAUGAGGGAUUCCUCAAUUAUUUCACUCUCAUCAGAAUUUCUUAUGUCACGAGAUAAUAAAAUGGUUAUUCCAUUAAGAAUAUUUUUCAAUUUGGAGCAGCCAACCAAACCAAUAAAUGAAAUUCUCUCUUACAAGAUCUUGGAUGGAAUAGAAACCAACUCAGUAAAUCUUCAAGUCCCUUUUUUCUAUUUUCUUAUUAUUACUAAUUUGUUAUCUAUUAUCCCUUCAUAUAGCUAUAAUGACCUUAAUGACCUUCCUUCGCAAAUUGUUGACAUUGAUCUAUUCAGGAUCAAUUGUCUUGAAUCUAUACCAUCAUCAUUGGCUGGAAUUGGGAUAUCCACGAGAUCUGGAUCACAAUCUGUAUCAACUAAGAAAAUUGUUGGAAUACCCAAAAUUCUACAUUCCCCAAGAGCAAUGGAUUCUUCUUGUUGAUUGGUAACUAUCAAAAAAUCACGUAAGCUCGUCAUGUCUCUAAUCCCACCUAGAUAUUUCUACAAUUGGUCCAAUUGUCUCUUGAGAAUUCCUGCUUCUUUCUUUGGAGGUCGAUUGAUUUAUCCUGUAUCUUGUUCCUUUUUAAAUUCCUUGAACUUAUGAGGUCUUGUCUUUGUAGUAGGCCAAUUAGUUAACAUACCACCAAGCCAUUUUCUAUUUACAUAAUGACAUCGAGCUUCUGUAGCAGCUAAUGCUACUAAAUUAAAUGUUUUAUAUUUCAUACUGACUAUCAGGAAUUGUGUUCCCCUACCUGCUAUAUCAAAUGACAAAUCACAAGCUUCUGAUAAAGAACGAGCAGUUUUAGCCAGAUUUAUAAUAUGAGUAUCUUUACACUUUGUAAAAAUGUAAGGUGCCUCGAGUAGCAUGGGGCAUGUGGAAUCCUGUGUGAAUCAGCAAGGACCAUAUUGCAAGGCUAAAUACUCCUGGGUGAUCGAUAGUGAAGUAGUAUAGCAAGGGAAAGGUGAAAAGAACCACCAUCAGGGAGUGAAAUAGAACAUGAAACCGUAAGAUCCCAAGAAGUGGGAGGAAAGUGAUAUCUCUUACCGCGUGCCUAUUGAAGAAUGAGCUGGUGACUUAUAGGCAGUGGCUUGGUUAAGGGAACCCACCGGAGUCGUAGCAAGAGUGAGUAUUCAUGGGGAAAUUGUCACUUCUUAUGGACACAAACCUGGGUGAUAUAUCCAUGACCAGGAUGAAGCUUGGGUGAAACUAAGUGGAGGUCCUAACAUACUAAUGUUGAAAAAUUAGCGGAUGAGUCGUGGUUAGGGGUGAAAUGCCACUCGAACCUAGAGCUAGCUAGUUCUCCCCAAAAUGUGUUGAGGUGCAAUAGUUGGCUGUACCUUCUAGGGGUAAAGAAUUGUUUUGGUACGGGCCACGAGAGCGGUACCAAAUCGAGGCAAACUAUGAAUACUAGAUUGCCCCAAUAAAAGGGGUAAAGGUCAGCCACUAAGACGAUGGGGGAUAAGCCUCAUCGUCGAGACGGGAAUAACCCAGAUCAUCAACUAAUGACCCUAAAUGACUGCUCAGUGACAGCUAGGAGGUCUUCCUAGAAGAAACCAACCUUGAAAGAGGGCGUAAUAGGUCACUGAUCGAGAAAUCUUGUGUCGAAGAUGAACGGGACUAAGCGAUAUGAAAAAUAUGUGGGAUGUAAAAAUAUAUCGGUAGGGGAGAGUUCCUCCUCAGAGGGAAGCACUGAUGAGAGAAGGUGUGGAAAAAGUGGAAGAAAGAAUGUCGACUUGAGUAAUGCAAACAUUGGUGAGAAUCCAAUGCCCUGAAAACCUAAGGGUUCCUCCGUAAGGUUCAUCCAUGGAGGUUGAGUCAGGGCCUAAGAUUAGGACGAAAGGCAUAGUUUAUGGACAACAUGUAAAUAUUCCUGUACUAUCCCUUGUUGGUCCUGAGGGAUAGAGGGGGCUAGGUUAGCCGAAAGAUGGUUAUCGGUUCAAGGACGCAAGGUGACCCUGCUUUUUUCAGGGUAAGAAGGGGUAGAUAAAAUUUCUCGAUCCAAUGUCUGAGUACCAAGUGCUACAACACUAAAGUAACCCAUUCCAUACUCCCAGGAAAAGCUCGAACGACCUUUAACAAAUGGGUACCUAUACCUGAAACUGACACAGGUAGAUAGGUAGAGAAUACCUAGGGGCACGAGACAAAUCUCUCUAAGGAACUCAAAAAAAUAGCCCCAUAACUUCAGGAGAAGGGGUGCCUUCUCAGGAGGUCAUAGUGACUAGGCCUAGGUGACUGUUUACCAAAACCACAGGUCUCUGCAAAGUCAUAAGACCAUGUAUGGGGGCUGAUGCCUACCCCAUGCUGGAAUGUUAAGGAAGUUGGUGACCUGAUGAUGGGGAAGCCAACAACUAAAGCCCUGGUGAACGAAGAUUGUAACUAUAACAGUUCUAAGGUAGAGAAAUUCCUUGUCGGAUAAGUUCUGACAUGCAUGAAAGGCGUAAUGAUCUGGGCACUAUCUCAGAGAGAGACUCAGUGAAAUAGACAUGUCUGUGAAGAUCCAGACUACUUGCACCUAGACAAAAAGACCCUAUGAAGCUUUACUGUUCCCUGGAAUUGUCUUUGGGUUCUUCUUACGCAGCUUAGGUAGAAGGUGAAGAAGUCUCCCUUCUUGAGGGGCCUGAGCCACCAGUGAGAGACCACUCUGGAAGAGCUAGAAUUCUAACCUUGUGCCACGACCUAUAGGCCAAGGGACAGUCUCAAGUAGAUAGUUUCUAUGGGGCGUAGGCCUCCCAAAAGGUAACGGAGGUAUGCAAAGGUUUCCUCGGGCCGGACAAAAAUCAACCCUCGAGUGCAAAGGCAGAAGGGAUCUUGACUGCAAGACCCACCCAUCGAGCAGGGAUGAAAUUUAGCCUUAGUGAUCCAACGGUGUUGAGUGGAAGGGUCGUCUCUCAAUGGAUAAAAUUUACUCUAGGGAUAAUAGGUUGAUCUUCCCAAAAGUUCACAUCAACGGGAAGGUUUGGCACCUCGAUGUCGGCUCUUCACCACCUGGGGUGGUAGUAUGUUCUAAGGGUUGGGUUGUUUUCCCAUUAAAGUGGUACAUGAGAUGGGUUUAGAACGUCGUGAGAUAGUUUGGUCCAUAUCCGAUGAGGGUGUUAGAUCAUUGAGAGGACCUUUCCCUAGUACAAGAGGACCGGGAAGGACGCACAUCUGGUGUACCAAUUAUCUUUCCCAUGGUAGACAUUGGGCAGCCAAGUGCAGAGUGGAUAAUGACUACAAGAAUAUAAGUAGGAAGCCCACCCCAAGAUGAGUGCUCUCUUAUUCUUACUUCCCUAAGAUCCCUAGUCAU